UAACCCAAAUUCUGACUUCUGUCAUGUGUGCAUUUGCUACGUGCUUAAAAGUACAGGACAGUCUGUUCCGAAGGCCUCAGCUGAACUUUAGACUUUAGAAGACUUCUGUAUUAAUAUAGAAAUAGAAAAACAAAAAGAUGUAGAUUUCCAUCUAGUCUCACAGAACGUUUAUGUUUUGCGCUUAUGACGCUGUUUGUCUGAGUUUUGGCUUCACACGUCUGUAUUUUGAGUUAUUUUUGAUCCUUGUGGGUUUUUGAUAAGGGAGACAAUACAGCCUGAGGUCUAUACAAUACAAUAUCUCCUGAGGUCUUUGCAACCCUGCAUUUAGCUGAGCAACACCCAAAGGCAACAACUAUCUGUUGAUCUUCUAAAAUGUGGAAGUUAAACUGGACUGCAAGGCUCAUCUGGUAUCUUUAUAUGGACCAGAGGCAUAUGACCAAUGUCUUUCUAUCUAUUUGAGACAUGACUUCAUUUCUGGAUCACGAGACUCUUUGCUUGAAGAGACUACAUAAGGAGGUGCAAACCCCUCCUCUCUCUCGCUCAGACUGAGUUCAGCCUAGACCCUUCUAGCUGGACUUAGUCUUUUCUCAUCUUCUUUAUCUUUGAUUCCGGGCUCACUUGAAUACUUUGAACUUCUCUCAGUUUUGGAGGCACCCGCUGGAGAUCGUUGAAGUUUUCAUUUUAUUAAGUUUUGAUGCAACGCAAGACAAAAUAAAGAGAGGUGAGUAGCUCAUCCUUUUCUCUUUAUGGGCUUCUGUGGUGUUGCCUGCCGGGUCUAGGAGAUAUAUCUGUGGACCCACCUCGUUCACUAAUCUUGACUGCAGCAAGAGAACGAGCCUGGGUCAUAGCCGGUGGUUUAACCGUAGACGGUGGUUUAACCGUAUUUGAAAAAUCAGCGCGCGCUGGGGGACGAGACGGCGAUCCGCGGCAUUAAAUGUGUUGUUCACUAUUGAGGGUUACUGGUAGUGUGGAUAAAUAUCUGUGCUUUACAUCCUGCGGGGUUACCGGGGGUGUAUUGCGAGCACUUUUGGGUUAAACCGAAAAUGCAACAGUAUUUUGAGACACGCGCUGUGAGGGUUUACUUACAGCGUGCUGGUCGGGUCUGAAUGCCGUCUCUUGUUUUUGGAUAUAGUCUCUGGGAUUAGACUUGGCAGUUUACGACACAAACAGAACCCCACCUUGCGACUAAAUUUAGAUCAAUAAAUUGUCAGACGGUGCAUUAAGUAAAAA